GCCCCCGUAGCUCAGUGGAUAGAGCACGGGUCUCCGGAACCCGGAGCGCAGGUUCGAUUCCUGCCGGGGGCA
rnacentral:tRNA from 1 species